CCAGCCCCCCAAAGCCACCCCUUUACUCUGCAUCUGUGAGUUUGGAUACUUUAGAUGCCCCAUAUGAGGGAAUCCCAUAUGGUAUUUCAGAACUGAGAUGUUUCAGCCCACAAAAGAAUCUGGCCUUGGGGGAGGACUUGUCCCCUGGCUACGGACAGGACCACGAUGUGGGAGCAUUUGGCACCCAGGCCCUCUGUUCCUGGAGGGAGGGGCUGGUGGACGCGAUUUGGAGCUGGCUUCGAUUUCUCAGUGGUCUCUCCACGGCACUCAUCACAGGACCUUUUUCCCCAGGUUAUUUUCCCUGCAGGCCCCAGUGCCACCCAAGAUUUACCUGUCCAUGGUGUAUAAGCUUGAGGGGCCCACGGACGUCACAGUUGCUUUGGAGCUGACCACAGGGGAUGCCGGCAGCUGCCACAUCGGUGGCAUCUCAGUGUUGAACGCAGAAACAAGCUCAAGACACAGCCUCCGACCCCUCCGGGUGCCCCCCACCAAGCUGGCCAGAUGGGUGGGCCGCUGCGGCCGGCAGCUGAGUGGGGGCUGGGUCCAGCACUGCUACGAGGUGAGCCUGCGUGGGUGCCUGCUGCUAGACCUCCUCGUUUGCUUCUCACGGCCGCCGGGUAGUCGGGAGGAGGAGAGUUUCACCUGUCGGCUUGGAGAGAUCCAGGUGGUGGACGCUGCCAGCCUGCUGGCCCCUCUGCCCCAGGUGCAGGCCGUCACCAUCUCUCACAUCCGCUGGCAGCCAUCCGCUUCUGAGCGGGAGGGGCCCCCUGCUCUGCUCCAGCUCAGCUGCACCCUGCACUGGUCCUUCCUCCUCUCACAAGUCCGUUGCUUCCGAAUCCACUGCUGGGGAGGGAUGAGUGAUGACUCUCCGGGCAGGGAGCUGCCGAGGCCAGAGAUGCCCAUGUUCCUGGGGUUGGCUUUUGCCACCCAGUACCGGAUAGUGGACCUGCUGGUGGAAGCCGCCGGGCCCGGCCAGGAUCGUCGCAUGGAAUUUCUGGUGGAGCCUGUCCCCAAGGAAGGGUUCCGGGUACCUCAGGCCGAGUGGGGCAGGGCAGUUCUGCUUUAUUCAGCCCCCGCAUGAGUGGAUGCUAAGGCCGGGUGGUCUCCUGGCCUCGGGCUGAGGCCUCUUCCCGGCUGUCUGCCCCUGGCCUGCGCUGGACCUGCUAAGUGCCCACAGUGGCAGCGAGGUCCCGGUCCCGGGGCUGGGGUGGGAGACCCCGGGCUGAGUGCUGUGGCUUUCUGGUGGGGGGCGAUGGAAACAGGAAACCAAGCAGUGGGAUCGCAGCGUUGGUCACUGCGAGGCGAGUGGCGGGCUUUCUGUUUCUGCCUUGUCCCUCCCCACGGUACCUGGUUCCCAGGUGAAAAUGAAAGGAGGGGAGAAGUUGAGAACAGAAAAUUCCAUAAAGGAUAUUUCCUAAUAGGCUGCAA
rnacentral:sRNA from 1 species